rnacentral:rRNA from 1 species
UACGAAGGGGGCUAGCGUUGCUCGGAAUCACUGGGCGUAAAGGGUGCGUAGGCGGGUCUUUAAGUUAGAGGUGAAAGCCCGGGGCUCAACUCCGGAAUUGCCUUUAAGACUGCAUCGCUAGAAUUGUGGAGAGGUAAGUGGAAUUCCGAGUGUAGAGGUGAAAUUCGUAGAUAUUCGGAAGAACACCAGUGGCGAAGGCGGCUCACUGGACCGGUACUGACGCUGAGGCGCGAAAGCGUGGGGAGCGAUCCGG